rnacentral:lncRNA from 1 species
CAAACCAAACACAGACAGGAAACCACCCACCCAGGAACAGAGACUUUAGGUGCUUCAAGCAAGAGGGGAGUGUAACCAAGGACUGCCACUUCACUCUCCUUCAUAUGCUUAGCCGAACUUAGGAAAGUCUUGUCUGAAAGAACUGCAGGGAUGGAAAUGAAGAGGAGCCUGAGGAAAUGAAGGUCCAAGGACAGGCCCAAAGUAGGAUCCAGCUCAAGGGGAGGCCCCAAGGCCUGACACUAUUACUGAGGCUAUGGAGCGUUCACAAAAAGGGACCCUGUCAUGGCCACACUCCAGAAGACCCAACAAGAAGCUGAAAGAGACUGGGCAUUCUAUUGGGCUCAGUGUCUCCAUCUUCUGAUGAAACCAGGAUCACAUUAUUCUUAAGAAUAUGAUAGAGGGCAAGCUUAAGCGGAAUCAGACAAGUACAUUUUAGAUCCCCACCCCCACCCCUUAUUGUGAUUUGCUUCCGGAACCAAGAUGGUACAAAGUCAAGAAACAGAUGUAAAGGCUGCCCAAGAGUGUCCUAAACACAUGAGCAUUUGGUUAUAGAAAUGCUGAAUGAGAAAAUGAGAAGGGAAACUAGAAAUGCUGGAGUGGUCCUGAGGAGACAGGCAAGCCUGGCUCCAAUAGAAAGGGAGAGAGGGAAAACUAGCUGAGAGCAUCCUGGGAGAUUCUGCAAUCAACUGCAAUUGAACUGUGAUCUAAAGCUGCAAUGCCAAGCCCAGCAAGGAGUCUUCAAGCCAAAGGACCUAUGUCACUUCUUGUUGGAGAUCAUUGGCUGAGAUUUGCUUGUUCAUAGGAAGCAUUGUCUCAGAAUAGA